AUAUUACUAAGCGGAGGAAAAGAAACAAACAUGGAUUCCCCCAGUAACGGCGAGUGAAGCGGGAAGAGCUCAAACUGGAAAUCGGUAAGCCCCAAGGCUUGUCGAAUUGUAGUCUAAAGAGGUGCGUUCAGUGCGCGUCCUGGGUAUAACUCCUUUGGAACAGGGGAUCAAAGAGGGUGAGAAUCCCGUAUUUGACUCAGAGCACGCCACGUACGAUGCGCUUUCAACGAGUCGAGUUGUUUGGGACUGCAACUCUAAAUGGGUGGUAAACUUCAUCUAAAGCUAAAUAUUGGCGAGAGACCGAUAGCGCACAAGUA
rnacentral:rRNA from 1 species